ACCGGCGGCUCGAGUGGUGGCAACUAUUACUGGGCUUAAAGCGUUCGUAGCUGGCUUGUUAAAUGUAUGGGGAAAUCUUCCGGCUCAAACGGCAGGCGUCUCAGGGAUAAUGGCAGGCUAGGAACCGGAAGAGGUGAGAGGUACUCCAGGGGUAGGAGUGAAAUCCUGUAAUCCUUGGGGGACCACCUGUGGCGAAGGCGUCUCACCAGGACGGCUCCGACAGUGAGGAACGAAAGCUGGGGGAGCAAACCG
rnacentral:rRNA from 1 species